UCUCCGUAGGUGAACCUGCGGAGGGAUCAUUACUGAGUGAGGGUUUAACCGCCCGACCUCCAACCCCAUGUGAACCGAAACCUGUUGCUUCGGGGGCGACCCUGCCUUCGUGCGAGGCGCCCCCGGAGGCUCAUCAAACACUGCAUCUUUGCGUCGGAGUCUUAAUGAAUUUAAACAAAACUUUUAACAACGGAUCUCUUGGUUCUGGCAUCGAUGAAGAACGCAGC
rnacentral:misc_RNA from 1 species